CCCAGCCCACCGGGUGUUUUUGCCUCCCUGCCUGUCCUGCUUAGCAGCCAACUUGUCCUGGGCCACAGUGCACAUGUGUGGAAUGUGCACCAACUCUCCGACUCUGCUCCUUCUCUCUGUCUCUUCCCACCCCUCCUUCUCUCUGUCUCUUCCCGCCAGGUGUUUUUGCCAUCCUGCUUAGGAGCCCACUCGUCCUGGCCCGCAGUGCACAUGUGUGGAAUGUGCCCCCCACUCUCUGACUCCCCUCCUUCUCUUUGUCUCUCGACUCCUCCUCUCAGUCUCUGGUGUAAUCGGAGGAGUCAUCAGGUUGCCUGUGCAGAGCCUGUUGCUGCCUAAGGACUGAGAUUACAGCUUUUCUGCUUUCAAAAAACAAAGAAGUACCAGAGCUCAAUGAUGCAGAAGGAAAUGGCACCUUGCCUUUCUGACAGAUGUAACAGAGCUACUCAACAGUUUCAAUGUGCAACUUCAAGGAAAGGGGAAGCUCAUCUGUGAUAUGCAAUCACAUGUGAAAGCAUUUGAAGUAAAAUUAGCCUCCUCAUCAAACAAGUGAAAGAGGAAAAUUUCUGCCAUUUCCUCACAACUCAAAAUCCGUUAGCCGAAAAUCCAUUGAUUGCAUUCCCAAAUAAAAUGUGUGGAUUCACUGGAAAAGUUGCAAAAGGAGUUCCAAUUUAGAUUUAAAGAGCUUCAUCUCCAUGAACAGGACAUGCAGCUUUUCUGCAACCCAUUUUCUAUUGACUUUGAAAAUGUGGAUAUGAUUUACCAAAUGGAACUGGCUGAACUGCAGUAUUGUGACUCUCUGAAAGAAGCAUUCAAGUCAAGCAGCCUUCCUAAUUUCUAUGCAUCUCUCCCCUCUCAGACACAUCCUAAUCUCAGGAACCAUGCACUCAAAAUGACAACCAUCUUUGGCAACACUUAUGUCUGUGAACAGACUUUUUCCAGAAUGAAACAUCUGAAAUCUCCAACCAGAUCUAGACUAACUGAUACACACUUGCAUCACUUGUUACAACUAUCAGUGACAAAUAUGGGACCGGACAUUGACCAUCUCAUUAGCCAAAAGCAGGCCCAUAGUUCCUAUUGAAAUACUGGGUGCACACCCACCCCACUGAAGUUGGCAUUCCAGGACCGUCCUGGAUGGCCCCUGCGGCAUCUGCGACCGGACCAUCCCUGGGACUAUGGAUGCAUGCAACUGGCUGCAACCCCUAGUCCUGGCUGGAGCAUGAGGAGGAGGGUAUUGUGUUGUCAAACCAGAGAUGAUAUUUGUCCUAGAGCAAGAAUAGGAGCCACAAAUACCGGAGGAAGAGUCUCUAACCCAGAGCCAUCCAGGAGGAGAAGGAAGUACUCUUCAGGGCCAAUGCUAGGAAGAAGGACUCUGCCGUUCAGGAGUGUAUUGUUUGUCAGGAAUGUCAACACCAAAGCCUCCUUACAUGUCAGUUUUGAUGCCAUCUUCAUGGAGACUGCAAAAGUUGUGAACGUGUGCACGAAGUUGCCUGGAAUAGAUACAAAGUCGAUCCUGAGACUUCCAAAUCCUCUUCUGGCUUCCCUGGCUCAGAAACACUGUGAACCAUGGAUCUCCUUGUAAACUCUUUGCAUGCUUGUGUGAAUGGAGAACAUUGACACAAGAAUCGUGCCUCCAGUAUUAACUCAGGCAGCAGAAGCCCUGCAGGAUAUACCCGUCUUAUAAAAUAGAUCACUUAGACUUCAGACAAGUGGAGAGGCAGAUGCAACUGGAAGAAUAGGUUUGGAAGAGCUACUUCAAUGUGCAGCUGGUCCAAUGGAGCUUCAUGAAGAGCCAACCUUUAUGAGCAAGUCAGGGGAAAUUGUGAAAUUAUAAAUGAAUUAGUUGCUGCCUCUCCCCCAAAAAGGCCAGAUGAAGAAGAAAAGGCUGAGUGACCUGGGGAUCACACAGGCUGAUGACAACCUCAUGUCACAGGAGAUGUUUGUCAGAACUAUGGGGAAUCAGUUCAAGUGGAGUGGGAAAGGGAAGUUUUGGGACAUUUCUUUUCUGAUCACAAUGAUGUAAAUAGACAGCAAAAUAUUGGGUUUUGCACAUGCUGCCUUGGGACUCAUUGCUGCCAGUGUAGUCUGCUUCAUGUACUUGAUUGGGCUUGAGUGAAACGUAGACUUAUUGCUAUUUGCAGGUGUUGUACACAAAGCACUCCUUCUUUGUAAGAAAGAUCAUAAAAAUACAUAAGAUAGAAAAUGUUUGGAGAUUUCUUAUCUGAAAGCCUUGCUUUCUUAAACACAGUUCUGUCAUAUUACACCUGUUAGUAACUUUCUAGUGUAAUUACAUUUCAGCACACUCAGGAGGAGGCGAGGCAGAGAAUGUAGGUUAAUGUGUACAAAUGCAGCAGGCGUUACACGUGCAGUGUUCUUUUUAGAGUUGUCUGUUCAUCCUGAUUACAGAAGGUCUGGUUUCCGUGCUUAUUUGCACAAUACUUAAGUUUUGUGAUUGGGAAGUUAUCUGCCUCAUCAGACUUACUAUUAUUUAUCUAUUUAUUUUAUUAAAUCAUAGCUGUGUACAUUAAUGCGAUCAUGGGGCAUCAUACACUGGUUUUAUAGACCGUUUGACACAUUUUCACCACACUGGUUAACAUAGCCUUCUCUGGCAUUUUCUUAGAUAUUGUGUUAAGACAUUUACAUUCUACAUUUACUAAGUUUCAUGUAUACCCUUGUAAGAUGCACCGCAGGUGUAA